UGUAUAUGUCCCUGUAACUUAGCUGCCCGGCAAAAUAUACCGAUAAACUAAGUACUAGGGUCGAUUCGUUCGACUAGAACUCUUCAAAGUGGUGCCCCAAACAACAAAUAUAUACACACGCAUACAUAUGCAUGUAUAUGUAUGUAUAACCAUAUAUAUGUGGAGGCGCAAUGGCCUAGUGGUUAGGGCAGCGGAUUCACGGUCAUAGGAUCGCGAUUUCGAUUCCCAGACCGGGCGUUGUGAGUGUUUAUUGAGCGAAAACAACUAAAGCUCCACGAGGCUCCGGCAGGGGAUGGUGGCGAACCCUACUGUACUCUUUCACCACAACUUUCUCUCACUCUUACUUCCUGUUUCUGUUGUGCCUGUAAUUCAAAGGGUCAGCCUUGUCGCACUGUGUCACGCUGAAUAUCCCCGAGAACUACGUUAAGGGUACACGUGUCUGUGGAGUGCUCAGCCACUUGCACGUUAAUUGGUCGUAUCAACUGAAACCCUCGACGUCGUAAGCGACGGAGUGCCAACAAACAAACCAUAUAUAUAGAGAGAGAGAGAGACUGUUCUGUUAGAGGUGGGAUCAACUAAAAUAGUAUUCCAUCUUUUGAGAUGUGAGCGAUAAAGAUCGUUUAAUAUAAACUGGGUUUUAAUGCGAACUAGUAUUGGUUUCAUUACUUCAGAAAUGACAAUGGUCGGGCAUGUUUGUCAAACGUUUGAACACAUCUAGACGGUAGAUGAAAAACCAAAAAUAUAUCAUAUAUUAAAAUAAGCAAAUAAGCUUAGAACAGUUUACAAAAGUACAAACAUGAAUGUUAUACUACACAAUACUUGAUAUGAUGUCUCUUUGCUUCUUAUGCAGCGUUUAUGUGAUGAAGCAGGGUUUCAACCAAAUUCUUGCAGUAAUUUUUGUUAUCUCCUGUGGUCAGAGCUGAAGUAUCGCCUGCUUAUAUUUGAAAUUAUCGAUGAAGCAUUUUGAGCAGCAAUUUUCGUUUUUAUAUGAUCCCAUGAAUUUUCUAUGGGGUUCAGGUCAGGCAAUGAUCCUGGCCAUCCCCCCCCCCCAAAAAAAGAGAGAAAUAAUAAUGUUAUCUCUAAGCUACUAUUCUUUUGGAAUAUGGCACUGUAAUGGAUGACUGAGUAGGCAACUUCUUCUUCAGAUUACCCAGUUGGUGAAAGUCUGAUGGAAUGGAAAGCUAGAUGACUACCAGAAAUUGCAUGAGCAGUGUUGCAACCGCACUGCAUGGUGAUAAAAUAUGGACAGUGAAAACAAGCUUCAAGGAACGGACGUAUAGAGUGGAUUUAAAGAACUAGAAUGAGUUAGUGUGAACAAAGAAAACUAAUGGAAAUUAAAGGAUUUUUGAAAGACAAGAAGAAAUCGUAUAUGUAGGUAACUGAAGAGAGUUUUAAGAACAGCGAAUAAUUUGCUGGUUUGAAGUAACUAUAAUAGAAAAGAGAUUAAAAUGUUUGGAGCUAAAUAAGAUUAACCGAAUAAAACUGAAUAUGACAGAAUGUCUAAUAAAGUAUUGAACUUUCUAGAGACUCAGCAUGGAAAUAUUAUGAGGAAAUCGAAAAUAUCACGAAAACCUAGAAUUGUAUUCUUAAUUUGAUUUAGAAUUCAAUUUUAUUGUUAAAGUAAAUAAAUCGAACGUUAAAAACUAGGCCUAAGAUAAACACUAUUUUGUGAGAUAAAAGAGUAAAAAAAAAAAAGCAGUGCUAUUUCUUUAAAAAAAUAACCAGUUCUAAUUUGAGAUUUUGAUUUUAAUUUCAAUAUUUUCUCGAUCAGAAUGUAUUAAAUUAUAAAUGACUAUAAAGAAAUUUAAAAUAAUUUUUAAAAAAAUUAUUAUUUGUUUCUAUUGAAACAAGGACAAUGCUAAAAUUUAUAGAUGAUUUUGUAAUUUUAGGAAUAAUUCAAUUUUCCAAGUUUCUGUUGCGACUCCAGGCCAUUUUCUUGGUUGCAUGCUUACCAUUUCUCAAAUUAAUUAACAAAUUCAAUUCAAUGAAUCAGCAAUAAAUCAAACUGUUUAAAAAAAAGUACAUAGCAACAAUUCAAAAGUAUCCAAAUUACUACAUUGAAACGAAGUAAUGUCCGUGUCCCACUUAUGGAGAACACUCGUGGAACCUCUACGUGGUAGCUCGAUCUUUUAGAAAUAGCAACCAAAUUACCCUUAAACCACUUCUUACCAUCUUACAAAAGAAAAGGGCACAUUGGAUAAAGAUGUCCUCGAUACAGCGUCUGAAAAUAAAACUGUACGAGCAUGGUUAGAAGGCUUUGAUAUGGGUCAUCUGUUUCAACUGAGUUAACUUGUGGUUAAAUAACAAUAACAGUUGUAAUUUAACCCUUCUAUUCACUUAAGAGAUACAGCUAGUUGAACUGCUUCUUCGUAUUUAUUUCUUAAUUCUUAAUUCUUCAGUCCAGAUAGAUAUUAUGGAAGUCACGAUUCGCAACUUUAAGUAUGCGAGUCAUUUUAAUUGACGUGUAUUUUUUUCUUCUUCUUUUUCUUGAAGUUCUUAAUUUGCCAUUGCGAACCCUGAAGGUAGCUUGGACAAGAGUAGGUCCUACUUGGAUGAUACUCCUUGAAUACUGGACGUGAAAACGAAAAAACUUCACUAGUAUGUCAAUAACUAAUUGACUAUUGAGAUACGUGAUUUAAAAGGCUAUUCUAGAUAAAUAUUGCGAAAAACUUUCCAGUUUGGUUAUCUAUAAAAUUUUAACACUUUUAUUAGUUUUAGUCCUUUUGAAUGUUAUAUUUCUCUUCGAUAUCAUACACUGAUAAGAAACGUUCAGAUAUAUAUGCCUUGAGAUAGUUAACAGUAGAGGUAUAAUUAAGUGCUCUAAAUGUCCGCUUUAAAAUCCCUAGACUUAAUAAAAUUUGCUAACACUAACAUAUAUAGAAUUUAUCUAACUUCAUAUUUCAAUAAAGAUAUAAUACCUUGGCUCAAAUUGAGAUUCGGUUAGAUUUUUCCAAGUGUAAGUACCAAUCGGAGUUUUAGACGUAUUCACGAUCUACAAUCGAUAACAGUGUCAUUAGAAAGCUUAGUCUAAUAUUAAUUCAAUGCCAGUGGUUUUCAAACAUUGUCUUCCUCUUAAAUAUAAUCGAGAUUUUAAACUUUUAUGAAUUAGCUGGCUUAUAUCUAUCAUUGUAUCUGAGAUCCCUUUUACAAACUGAAAUAUAUCUCCCAAUAGAAAUAGCCUGUGUCAUUCUCAGCAAACACUGGAGCUUUGGAUUCUGUUACACAUGUCUGAGUAUAAAUUGUCAAUUCCUUCUGAACCUUUCUUUUCGUUGGCUUUGGCUAUUUUCGUGACUUCCUUCAGAUCAUAGUAAGAGAUUUUUAAAGUGAUAAAGUAAGAUAUUUUUUGUUUUGUUUUGUGG